AGAACAUUUUCCUCAUAUUAUUUGCUGAGCAACUCUCGAUUACGAAAAAAUGGAUCACUUGUGGAAGAAAGAAGUCCUUUUCUAGUUGGACAACUUGUUUAGAAAUUGAAAAGUGUUCAAGCAGAGACUGGUUUACUACUUGCAAACUUUGGGAGGAAUUCCUAUACCAUGGUAUAAAACCAGAUGACUUUCAAGGUUUCUGCCAUUCAUGAAUCCGGCACAGCAGUAGACAAAACCGCAAAAAAAUCUGUCUUCGUGGACCCAAGGUGUCUGGAAGGCAGAUUCUUUCUGUGUCCAACCUGUUUGUGUGUGAAUGUCCCAGCAAGGCACCCAGGGAAAGAGAGGGGUUUAUUCAUUCUACAAAUAUGUACUGAAUGCUUCACAGAUGGCAGACUCUGUGGGAUGCUGGGGAUACGGAAUGAAUCCUUGCCUUCAAGGAGCUCAUGAUCUCCUGGGGAGAGCUCUAUAUCCACUGAGACAUUUGCAGCUCUGUGUGUGGGAGGAAUACCCAAGCUACCUUGGCAACAAAGUAGUGGGGAGUGUUGGGAGUUUGCUUCUGCUUGGAAAUAGAUUUGGUGAUCUUGGAGGACCGUGACGGGAAUUCAAAGCCCGGUACAGGUCAUUAGCAUGAGUGAAAGAUUCUGCCUGGGCAGUGGGUACCUAAGGUUCAGCUCUAUGCUCUAGGACACUGGGAAGAGUCUGUUCUCCAAAACCUGUCCCCUUACCCUUUUGUCUGCUCUCUCAGCACCGGUAUGUCAUUGUUAGAAAUUCAUUUCAUUGCCUCAAUACACUUUUGUUAUUUUGCAUAGCAAGCUAUUGUAUGAAAAGAUAUUUUACAAAUAAAUUCUUUAUCAUUUAAUUUGUAACUGUAUAAUGUUUUGGCAAGAACUACAUCCCCCAAAUGUCUUGUUGACAAAAACGUAUAAAUAUCUGACAUCCUGAGAGACAUAAUAGAAUUCUACAUAUGGAUGUAAGGUGUCUUUGUUAUUGUUUUCUUCUUCAUGCUUUUCCGAGUUGUGAAGAGGAUUGUAGGGAAAAGAGCUGCGGAUGAGGGAGCAGCUUCAGCUGGAAGGGACCCAUGAAGGAGUUGGGAAAGGGUGUCCCGCAGGUGGGGAGGGGGCACCAAGAUACAGAUGAGGAGACCUCUUCCAUCAACAUUGCUCUGGAACUCUAUGGAAUAUUUUCCUCCUUCUCGAGUGAUCAUUAUAUUGACACAAUGAAGCAAAUAAGAAACAAAAAACAAAAAACCAAAGACUCUGUAUUCACUCAGUAAUGGUGUUUUGUGCUUACUACUUGCCAGGCACUGUGCUGGGCACCAAGAGCAUGGCCUGAAGCAUCCAUUAAAGACAGUAGGUUGUGACUGCUUAGAGUGUUUGUUCUACCCAGAGGGGUGAAAUGGUGGUUUGUGAAACCUAAGCCCAACUCACUGAGGGCAUGUUACUAGAGGUUUGGCUUCCAAGAUGAUUUAGAAUCAUGUUUCCAAGUCCUGUCUUAAGAGGCACUUGAGCUUGUAAAGAUUUUAGAUGGGGGAAGCCACACAUUAAAGCUGGAAAAUUUUACUGCUUA